AUGACAAUAAGUUAAUUGGUAAACUGUUACACUUCCAAUGUAAGUAUACGAGUUCGAUUCUCGUUUGUCAUA